rnacentral:lncRNA from 1 species
CUCCUCCAACGCGAGCACGCCGGCCAACGCUGCCCAGAUGGAGGCAGCCUGCCUCCUCCCGGUCCAAGCACGAUGCCCGUGGCGCCCAGAUGGAGGCGACCUCCUCCUCCUGACCGAGCACCGCGACGGCGACUGCCACAUGAAGGGGUCCUCCAACGCGAGCACCGCGGCUGGCGGCGGACAGAUGGAGGCGGCCUCCCUCCUCCAACGCUAGCACGACGACCAGCGCUACCAGGCGACCUGCCUCCUCCUGAUCCAAGCACGGCGCCCGCGGCGGCCAGAUGGAGGCGACCUCCUCCUCCUGAUCGAGCACAGCGACGCCGGCGGCCACAUAGAGGGGUCCUCCCUCCUCCCGCUGGAGCACGACAGUCGUCUUGUCAUCCUCCGCCGCGUCUGUAGCCAACGUCGCCUCACCUGUGCCUAGAUAAGACAAGAUUGGGAGUGGGACGUGUUUGUGUGGCGGCGGUUUGUUAUUUUAGCCACGAUGGGUGGGAUCGUGGGCUAGUUUU